rnacentral:lncRNA from 1 species
GCAAUUUGCACAUACUUACCUACAAAUACAAGUAAUGGAUCCCAGGCCUAAUUGCAGUGGACUAAUAACUGUUUACUUACUGAACUUGGAGUGAAACCUUCUGACAGUGCUGCUGAAACACUGCCUACUUUGGUUUGAAAUUCACCUGGGUUUAGUGACGUAUGACACGCAGGCCAUGUGAGGACACAGUGAGAAGAUGGACAUCUGCAAGCCGGGAAGAGAGGCCUCACCAGAAACAGAGUAUGCUGGCACCA